CGAACGCUGGCGGCGUGCCUAAUACAUGCAAGUCGAGCGAGCGGAACUAACAGAUUUACUUCGGUAAUGACGUUAGGAAAGCGAGCGGCGGAUGGGUGAGUAACACGUGGGGAACCUGCCCCAUAGUCUGGGAUACCACUUGGAAACAGGUGCUAAUACCGGAUAAGAAAGCAGAUCGCAUGAUCAGCUUUUAAAAGGCGGCGUAAGCUGUCGCUAUGGGAUGGCCCCGCGGUGCAUUAGCUCGUUGUUAAGGUAAAGGCUUACCAAGGCGAUGAUGCAUAGCCGAGUUGAGAGACUGAUCGGCACAUUGGGACUGAGACACGGCCCAAACUCCUACGGGAGGCAGCAGUAGGGAAUCUUCCACAAUGGACGCAAGUCUGAUGGAGCAACGCCGCGUGAGUGAAGAAGGUUUUCGGAUCGUAAAGCUCUGUUGUUGGUGAAGAAGGAUAGAGGUAGUAACUGGCCUUUAUUUGACGGUAAUCAACCAGAAAGUCACGGCUAACUAC
rnacentral:rRNA from 1 species